CCACUGUCUCCUGUUAUGUGAGAUACGUUUCGACCCGGAGCUCCGCCAUUAAAAAAACCUCUUGUUGUUACAUCAAGGUGUUGUGUUCUAUUCGUGAUUCUUGGGUGCACGCCGAAUCGGGAGCUGAGUGGGGGUUUCCCCACUGAGUUCUUUCAAUGUCACAUAUGUGAGUGCACUGUCACUGACUUCAGACACACCAGAAGAGGGCAUCAGAUCCCAUUACAGAUGGUUCUGAGCCACCACGUGGUUGCUGAGUUCAGGACUUCUAGAAGAGCAGUCAGUGAUAACUGCUGAGCUAUCUAUCUCCAGCCCCUUAACUCAAACCUUUAAUUGUACUUCUUUUGUGUGCGUGUCCAUGGGUAGGUAUGGGCCAAUGGAUGGCAUAGAACAUCAAGGUCAGAGAACAGCUUGCAGGAAUUGGUUUUCUCCUUUGAUAGCAGGCAUCUCUAGUCCUACAGCCUGUGUUCUUUUCUGGAGUGCCAGUCAUGACUGAGUUGUGUUGAAGGGAAAUGUCCUGUUCUUGGUAUGGAAGCUGUGGGGUAAAUGGUACGUGGACAGUUGCCAGCUUAGUGUUAAUGCAUUUGGCUCACUGACUCUUCCUUCGGUCUAGGAAACCUAAGGUGCUGGAGCUAGAAGAGACUUGAUAGCACUUCAGAGACCAUCAGGCUGUUUCGUGGAACUUCCACCAAAGAGAUGCAGAAAUGGAGACUCCAGAGCUGGAGAGAGAGAGAUGACUCAACUGUUAAAAGCACUGACUGCUCUUCCAGAGGUCCUGAGUUCAAUUCCCAGCAACCACAUGGUGGCUCACAAUUAUCUGUAAUGGGGAUCCGAUGCCCUCCUCUGGUGUGUCUGAAGACAGUGAUGGUGUACUGACAUAUAUGAAGUAAAUAAGUAAAUUAAUAAAUAGAAAUGAGACUCCAGCUGUGUUGAUCGGGUUUGAAGUCCUCUUGUUGGAUUCUAGAAGAAUCCCAAGUUUCUGGUUCUUGGCCUGAGCUUGAUUCUAUGUUUG
rnacentral:lncRNA from 1 species